rnacentral:rRNA from 1 species
UACGAAGGGGCUAGCGUUGCUCGGAAUCACUGGGCGUAAAGCGCACGUAGGCGGCUUCUAAGUCAGGGGUGAAAUCCUGGAGCUCAACUCCAGAACUGCCUUUGAUACUGGAGAGCUAGAGUCCGGAAGAGGUGAGUGGAACUGCGAGUGUAGAGGUGAAAUGCGUAGAUAUCGUAAGGAAGACCAGUGGCGAAGGCGGGUCUCUGGACAGUUCCGUGACGCUGAGGCACGAAGGUCAGGGAGCAAGCGGG